UGGGGGAUAUUGCACAAUGGGCGAAAGCCUGAUGCAGCGACGCCGCGUGGGGGAUGAAGGCCUUCGGGUUGUAAACUUCUUUUGCUCUGAACAAGGCAUGCCUUUGGGGUGUGUUGAGUGUAGGGGUUGAUUAGCGCCGGCUAACUACGUGCCAGCAGCCGCGGUAAUACGUAGGGCGCGAGCGUUGUCCGGAAUUAUUGGGCGUAAAGGGCUUGUAGGUGGCUGGUUGCGUCUGUCGUGAAAGCUCAUGGCUUAACUGUGGGUUUGCGGUGGGUACGGGCUGGCUUGAGUGCAGUAGGGGAGGCUGGAAUUCCUGGUGUAGCGGUGGAAUGCGCAGAUAUCAGGAGGAAUACCGGUGGCGAAGGCGGGUCUCUGGGCUGUUACUGACGCUCAGGCACGAAAGCGUGGGGAGCAAACAGG
rnacentral:rRNA from 1 species